GUGCUCACUUCGGUGGCACUCGUACUAAAAUUUGGAACGAUACACAGAAGAUCAGCAUGGCCCCUGCCCAAGUUUGACAGGCAGAUUCGUGAGGCGAUUUAUAUUUUU
rnacentral:snRNA from 1 species